UACGUAGGGUGCAAGCGUUGUCCGGAAUUAUUGGGCGUAAAGAGCUCGUAGGCGGUUUGUCACGUCGGAUGUGAAACCCUGAGGCUCAACCUCAGGCCUGCAUUCGAUACGGGCAGACUAGAAUUCGGCAGGGGAGACUGGAAUUCCUGGUGUAGCGGUGAAAUGCGCAGAUAUCAGGAGGAACACCGGUGGCGAAGGCGGUUCUCUGGGCAUUACCUGACGCUGAGGAGCGAAAGUGUGGGGAGCGAACAGG
rnacentral:rRNA from 1 species